GUAGGUGAACCUGCGGAAGGAUCAUUAACACUUUAUUUCAAUAUAAACAUCUUUGCGCUCCCUGCUUGGCCAACCCUUAUACGGUUCGGUUCGCUUAUUUCGAUAAGCCUCGUGGGGAAAAUAUACUGUCCUGACUAGAUGGGAGUCCGAUCAUACGCCACCCUUAACAGGGUCACGGAUGGGGAGCUCUCAUGGAAGGGCAACAGAUCGGGAUUGAGUUCCAUUCGUGGGAUUGGUCUGUUGUCAUCUACCCUGGUGUCUUGGCAUAGGGGUAGAACUUCGGUGGUCAGAUAUCAGCCGCUGCCCGGCUGGCCUUUUUUUUAAACUUGCUAGAUCGUACUGAUUCGGGCUUUUAGAUUGAGUUUACUCUCUGGAGUCCUUAUGGAGAAAUCCAUUAAACAAAAAACACAACUCUUAACAGCGGAUAUCUCGGUUCUC
rnacentral:misc_RNA from 1 species